AACUUAUCGUAUCCCACCGUCAAACUUCAAUAGUUUGUUGAAUUUAUAAUGUAUAGGACCUUAACUUAAUCAUAGUAAAAUGUUAAUGGUUAAUUUCUCCAUAAUAUUAACUUGGCGUCUCAGUUGAAACCACUGAACUUAAUUGAAUUUGGAGACAAAUCAAUGAAAUAAAAAAAAACAAAAAAAAAACAUUAUUUUAAAUACGGAGAUUGAAA
rnacentral:lncRNA from 1 species